UGGAAACCAACCAACAAUGAACGACCCACUACUCCACGACUCUGCGCGUCUGCUCCUUCUUGUUCUCGCCAACCAGCGCGGCGAGCGCACGUGUGUCCUCCGCCGCCCCGCUUCCUUCUCCCCUAUGGCAGCGGCCGCGCACGAUGGAGGGUCACGCCGUCGUCAUGCCGCAAGCCGCCUGUGUACCCGCAACUGUUGAUGCCAUCCUUCAUAUGCUGCUCCCGAUCCCUGUCGCACGGUGCUACUCAUUGCCAACCGCCAUCGCCGGAAGGACCGCGGUCGCUCAGUCGCAGCCGUGGGGAGGAGUCCCCUCGUCGCUCAAGGUGCGCUCUCUUCUUGCCCCUCUCCGUCCUAGCCGGCGCCGUUGGCCACAGGAAGACUCUCCCCCUCUCAUCUUUGGUUAUUUUGUGCUACGAGGUGCUUGAUGAAAUUACGGUAUGAUACUUGCGUCCAUGGAGAACUCCUUCAUCAGUCAUCACUGUCGGCCUUCUUUCCGAUGCUCGGCUGCAGUGCCGGCGCACACUUCGUCCGUCGAACAACCUUACAACCGGGUUCCCAACCUGACGCCAACGUACACGUUUGAACCCCUCCGUGAUUCUCACUCCGACGAUGACGACAGUGAGUACUAGACGACGGACACACACAAGUCCCGGCUGCUCCACUCCAACAAGCUGAAGCUCGGAUCAUUUCAGUCAGCGGCAAUGGUGGCGAGGAAGUGUGCUUGGUCGGAGCUCCAAGGUGGUGCUUCGCGUUGGGCGUCUCCAGGGAGCAGGUGUGCGAUGUCUUCUUGGAUGGUAAAUUGAUGGCCUGUUCUGUCACACAUUAUGCAGAUAGUGAAGUAGUGGAGAGGCAAUGCUAUUGCCGUUUUCGUCAAAAGAUGAAGCAGCCACCGGACACGCCGCCUCGCCGUCCAUCGUGCCAUCCACCAGCAAUAAUGGAGGGUGUGCACAUGAAUUCUUCCUUCUCGGCGCUUCCUUUUGCCGCAUCUUUGGGUGCAUAAGCCACGGGGGUCGACAACGAGACAAAACAACGAGAUGGUGGUUCUGGAGGAGUCGCAGAGAUGUUGGCGAGGUACACAACGGACCGGCAUCCGCAAACUGGUGCUCGCAUAAGCUAUCUCGGCUUGUCCAGGAGGUAUAGAAAUUUGAACUGGUAAGACCUUGUUUGGUUCAACAUUCAAUCACUAAAUCGUUUUGGAUGUCUCACCAAGGCAUCAAGGAGAAGUCCAAGAUUCAACAUGGAAAAUCAUUACUACAUAUUCCGAAUUCCUUGAGUAGUCUUGUUUCAGCAGCUUGAUGUGCUUUAUAUAUAUGGAGCAUCGUUGAAUAUCGUCACUACAUAUUUAUACCGACUAAUUUGUAGGAGCAGCCUAUGAUUCAACAUGAAAAAUCUUAGGAAGUCAUUCUUUAAAUGAAUAUGUACAAACAUUAGUUUCCAACCCAGCGAAGUCUGCUUAUAUCUAUUGUUGAUACUACUAAACAGGAGGUUGGCAGCAUUCUGUUUGUUCUUCAUAUUACCUUCUACCAUUGCAUAGUGAGAUACACGCUUGUCAGUUUGAAUGUUGCCCCAUAUGCAAAACGUAUUUGCACUAGAUUCGUUUGGACCAGUUAUUUCUGAAAACUUGAAGCAACCCCAUAAUCUCUAAAUUAAGGCAGGUCAGAAAUGUAGAACAACCAAUGUUUCUUUUUGAAGGCAUCAUUACCCUUGCUUUGUUCUUUGUUGCUUCUCACUAUGAUGCCAUUUUUUUCCUUGAACAUGAUUUAUCCGGUUUUACCUAUGUACCUAUGGGCAUUAUGAUGGAAAAUUCAGCGAAGAUUAGAUGUUUUGAAACGCAACUGUUAAUUACUUUAUACUACCUCACCAGCCGCACUACAUCACAGUGGGAUAUCACAACAAUGUUGUACACAGAUAAAACUUCAAGAAAUAAAGAUGUAUUUUGCGGAGACGAAAAAUUGUAAUGUUGUACACAUAUAAAAGAUUCUUUAGAUCUCACACUUUAUAUAUAGCUUGACCCUUGUGUAAUUUGCAGUUUACUGACUGUCAGUAUUUCAUACAUAUAUAAUCUGAUUCUGAGAGAACACUCAGAUUUCUUGAUCCAUGUUACUAUGUUAGUAGUAGAUAUAAUUGUUGUUACAGGAUACAGGCAAUUUCUGAAAUCAUUCUUACCUUAGCCUGAUAAUCUGAAUGGUGUGUAGAUUAAUAAAAUGGAAACCUUGAAUCUCCACAUGAUUCUGUAAAAGGAUGAUCUUAUCACGUUAAGCAUUACAAAUAAGAUUUGAGUUUCUUCUGAAACCAUAAAUCUCUGUGAGAUGUACUAAAUCGGCACCUUUAGGUUCAUACUUCACUUAUUAUACUACAAGUUAUCCAUUCAUAUAGUGCUGAAUUACUUUUUUCCUUUGUUCCUAAUGCUUGAUGAUAAAAACAUGAAUGGGAUUGGAAGUUCUGUUUAGCUCAUAGCUCAUGAAAUAAAGUUCUGCUUAGGUCACUGUUCUGAAUGAACAUGCACCAGUUGCUUGACAUAGAGUCAGUUGUGCCGCAUUUUCAGAUUUCCAACGUAAGACUGUAACAAGGAGAAAUCAUGACAAGCAUCAAGAAAAAAAAUCCUCAAUUGCUCAUUAUUUGGUUACCUAUUCAAGGUACAUGCUUCUGGGAUUUUGUCUUCCGUUUUGCUUGUGGGAUGCACUGAUGUAUGAAGUGAUGUGAGUUUCCUGAACGUUCCAUUUAGAAAGUUUUCUGAUGAAUGUUAUUAUUAACCUAUCUCCAGUUCUGAAAGUUCCAUUAGAAAGUUUUAUGCUGAAAGUCAGACUACAAAUAGUGUGCUCUCAUAUUUGUGCUUAGACUAUUGCUUUCUAGCUCUCAUAUUCUGAGCCAAAUUGCUUUCCUUCCUUUCCUAUGCAUUAUUGCCAUGGAUUUGUCAAGAAGAACUCAAUAAAAUAAAAUAAAGGUUUAGUGAAAAUGGAUAUUUUUUUUGCAGUUUGCUUUACCCUCUUCUUCCGGCACAUGUAACUAUAUGCUCUGAAUAACUUUUGACAUGUUUAAAAGCCAUAGAAGUAGGUUACUAGAAACUAUAUAUGAUUGGUAUCCCCCGAGAUAUUAUUUUGAGAACCCCCAGGAGUUCCCCGCGUCAUUCCAUUAAGCAUCAGAGAAGAAAUAGAUUUACAAGAGAGCAAUGGCUUAAGUGCCGUAGAAACCACAGGUGGCCGAUGGCGCGAGAAGCGAUCGCAACACACGGCACAGAAACGGGACAACCAAGGGCUAUCCUCUCCCCUACCCACGUCUGUCCUCCCCGAUGCUGUGGCCAACAGCCAAGGCCGUCGUAGUGAGAGCAUUGAACAGACACACAUUCCUCUCCAACCAAAUGGAGCGGAUGACUAGCAGCACCAAGGAGUUGAACGCCUUGCUCAUGCAUCGAGGGGCAGCGGUAGCGGCGUCAGGCCACCAAACGUGCAGCGACAAUGCGGGGUAGGCAUAGGUAUUUGCCAACCAAGGUGAUGGAACGCACAAGUCUAGACGGCCACGGCAUACGGGCAUUGCAGAACGAGGUGGUCAUAGGUUUCGGCCGCCGCAUUACAGGGCGGGCAGGUGCCAUGGUUAGGGAGCCCGCACUGCUGCAUCCUAUCAGCAGUCCAACACCUUUAUCGGAGAGCAAGCCAUCCAUGAAAGCGAAACUUCGCUGGCGCGAAGGAAUGCCACAGCUGGGCUGCGCGGGGAGGGCGAUCUGUCCCCCGAGAUAUUUAUGCCUGACCAAGGAUUAAGCCCAACAUGUCAGAUGUAUUGCACACGAUCUAGAGGAACUCAUGUGAGCAACAAAGUUAGAAGCUACACUCUCUCCCUUCUCGGGGUAAGUCAAGAUGGCUAUGCACACUUUUUUGCAUUAAAAAAUGCAUUGUUACUAAAAGUUGAUAGUUGUUAUCAAUCAUAUUUGUUUCACCUGUCUAGAGGCAAUAUUAGUAUGUUGUAUGCAUGAAUCUGAAAGUACUCUCUGCACCAGCAAAUGAUGAUAGCAUUAGUCGUGUUCGGACAUUUACCAAGACUUGUGUACCAAUAUGUACUAACAUCGUAGGUAUAUUAUGUUGAGUGAAAGAAUACACCGUUUGUAAUUUGUACCUAUGUUGGAUGAGAAUACGUAGAAAACAAUUAUGUUUUCUUUGUUAUCGACAUAACACAUCACAUGUAUGAACCCAGUGUAUGUUACAUGACUUAAGGGUAGACAUUUGCGACGAAUAAAAUAAACUCGAGACUAAACAUUAUGUUUUUAGCCCAUCAGUUCAAUUAAAGGGCUGUCAUCUUGUUAUUUUUUCCUAAGUGCACUGGCCAAUUGUAGCGGCGGGGGAGAAUCAGGAGGGAGAAGAGGCGGUACCAUAGUUUAUUAUUUUUUUGUCAAGAAUGUGUUUAUAAGUGAAUCACACCCACCUCCAGAGGUAUGGUAUCAAUAUGAAACCUGCCAGAUUUAGAAUUCUCUAAUUGUUUUUAUUUGGACGUGUGUGAUUUGCUAGAUCUCAUGUUUGGUGGACGCAUCAGGGUUCAAGAGAUCCUAUUGUGGGUUGGAGCUUUGAGCUGACGGCGGGAUCUCUAUAGUGCAGAGAAACUGUGAGCUAAAGAUCAGUCGUGGUUCUUCCAAUUCUUACUUAGAGUGGAAAACAUACGUUCAGGCACACCCUCUUUGCUAGAUUAUAAAUAGGUAUGGAAAUUAUGCUUGGAUAAAUUUAUCUAAAGUUGUAGAUCAAACAGAACCUUAUACUCAUUUUUUAUGCUGUCCACAUUUCUCGAAGGUCUUGUAUAUAUACGAUAUGGCAUCAUUGAGUUUGUAACGCAUGGUGUACCACAUC